rnacentral:rRNA from 1 species
GUACACUCCUACGGGAGGCAGCAGUGGGGAAUUUUGGACAAUGGGCGAAAGCCUGAUCCAGCCAUGCCGCGUGCAGGAUGAAGGCCUUCGGGUUGUAAACUGCUUUUGUACGGAACGAAACGGCCUUUUCUAAUAAAGAGGGCUAAUGACGGUACCGUAAGAAUAAGCACCGGCUAACUACGUGCCAGCAGCCGCGGUAAUACGUAGGGUGCAAGCGUUAAUCGGAAUUACUGGGCGUAAAGCGUGCGCAGGCGGUUAUGUAAGACAGUUGUGAAAUCCCCGGGCUCAACCUGGGAACUGCAUCUGUGACUGCAUAGCUAGAGUACGGUAGAGGGGGAUGGAAUUCCGCGUGUAGCAGUGAAAUGCGUAGAUAUGCGGAGGAACACCGAUGGCGAAGGCAAUCCCCUGGACCUGUACUGACGCUCAUGCACGAAAGCGUGGGGAGCAAACAGGAUUAGAAACCCUGGUAGUCCC